CCUUCCAUGAUGAUCCGUCAAGAUGACUUUCGUUCUUCUGACUUUGCUGAAGCCAUCUCAAUGCACUGAGAAGG
rnacentral:snoRNA from 1 species